UGAGGAAUAUUGGUCAAUGGCCGAGAGGCUGAACCAGCCAAGUCGCGUGAGGGAUGACGGCCCUACGGGUUGUAAACCUCUUUGUCGGGGAGCAAAGGACUUCACGAGUGGAGUUUCGAGAGUACCCGAAGAAAAAGCAUCGGCUAACUCCGUGCCAGCAGCCGCGGUAAUACGGAGGAUGCGAGCGUUAUCCGGAUUUAUUGGGUUUAAAGGGUGCGCAGGCGGAGUGUCAAGUCAGCGGUAAAAUUUCGGGGCUCAACCCGCGAGCGCUGUAACAUGACGCCCUUGAGUGCGCGAGAAGUAUGCGGAAUGCGUGGUGUAGCGGUGAAAUGCAUAGACAUCACGCAGAACUCCGAUUGCGAAGGCAGCAUACCGGCGCGCAACUGACGCUCAUGCACGAAAGCGUGGGUAUCGAACAGGAUUAGAUACC
rnacentral:rRNA from 1 species